ACUCAAUAGAUACCCAGGUAGCCCACGCCCUAAACGAUGUCUACUAGUUGUCGGGUCUUAAUUGACUUGGUAAACGCAGCUAAACGCGUGAAGUAGACCGCCUGGGGAGUACGGUCGCAAGAUUAAAACUCAAAGGAAUUGACGGGGACCCGCACAAGCGGUGGAUGAUGUGGAUUAAAUUCGAUGCAACGCGAAAAACCUUACCUACCCUUGACAUGGAUGGAAUCCUUGAGAGAUUGAGGAGUGCUCGAAAGAGAACCAUUACACAGGUGCUGCAUGGCUGUCGUCAGCUCGUGUCGUGAGAUGUUGGGUUAAGUCCCGCAACGAGCGCAACCCUUGUCAUUAGUUGCUACGAAAGGGCACUCUAAUGAGACUGCCGGUGACAAACCGGAGGAAGGUGGGGAUGACGUCAAGUCCUCAUGGCCCUUAUGGGUAGGGCUUCACACGUCAUACAAUGGUACAUACAGAGGGCCGCCAACCCGCGAGGGGAGCUAAUCCCAGAAAGUGUAUCGUAGUCCGGAUUGUAGUCUGCAACUC
rnacentral:rRNA from 1 species